UACAGAGGUCCCAAGCGUUGUUCGGAUUCACUGGGCGUAAAGGGUGCGUAGGCGGUCGGGGAAGUCUGUCGUGAAAUCUCCGAGCCCAACUCGGAAACUGCGUCGGAUACUAUUCGGCUAGAGGAAUGGAGGGGAGACUGGAAUUCUCGGUGUAGCAGUGAAAUGCGUAGAUAUCGAGAGGAACACCAGUGGCGAAGGCGGCGCUCUGGGCCGGAACUGACGCUGAGGAGCGAAAGCGUGGGGAGCAAACAGG
rnacentral:rRNA from 1 species